rnacentral:rRNA from 1 species
AGUGAACGCUGGCGGUAGGCCUAACACAUGCAAGUCGAACGGCAGCACAGUAAGAGCUUGCUCUUACGGGUGGCGAGUGGCGGACGGGUGAGGAAUACAUCGGAAUCUACUUUUUCGUGGGUGAUAACGUAGGGAAACUUACGCUAAUACCGCAUACGACCUACGGGUGAAAGCAGGGGAUCUUCGGACCUUGCGCGAUUGAAUGAGCCGAGGUCGGAUUAGCUAGUUGGCGGGGUAAAGGCCCACCAAGGCGACGAUCCGUAGCUGGUCUGAGAGGAUGAUCAGCCACACUGGAACUGAGACAGGGUCCAGACUCCUACGGGAGGCAGCAGUGGGGAAUCUUGGACAAUGGGCGCAAGCCUGAUACAGCCAUACCGCGGGGGUGAAGAAGGCCUUAGGGUUGUAAAGCCCUUUUGUUGGGAAAGAAAAGCAGCAGGUUAAUACCCCGCUGUUCUGACGGUACCCAAAGAAUAAGCACCGGCUAACUUCGUG